GGAGGCUGGUAGCGCGUCCACAGCCCAGCUCGCGCUCCAGCGCCCGCGCGCCCGCCCCACACGCCGUGCGCGCGGCGCGCGCCUUACGGUACAGGAGGGACGGUUGGUGUUUGCGCCAACGGUCCGGGGACACGAGCCACGCCGGGUUACCAACAUGACAUGCAGCAAUGGGAAGAGGAGGGCACUGCAGAUCAGCUCCAGCCCACCACUGGGGGGGUUUCCUCUUAACACUAUACCUACUGUCCACAGCUCCUGGGGAUCACUGACCAGGGACUAAACCCUGGUUCCACACAGUGAAAGUCUUAACGAAUGGACCACCAAGGAAUUCCCAAUGGUACUCAGUUUUAACCAUCCUAUUUCAUACAAGAUGCCUGGAGCUACAGCAACAAUCUUGUGAUCAUGAAACAUCAAACAUGAAGACAAACAUGAAGUCUAAUAAAUUAGUGGAGCAUAAACCAUAAAGUCUGGUUUGUUGAUAGCAUCAUUAGCAGAUGUUAGCAACUCCUGUCUCACCCGAUUAUGUGUGAAAAAACAAACCCUUACCUUAAAACUCAAAUGUGAUUACCUCCAUUCUUAUCUCAACUGCCUGCUGCAGACAUUGGAGUACUGGUGCUCUUUUCUGUUAGAUGCAGAAAUGAGAGAGAAAACUGGGAGAGGGGAGGAGAAAGAAGUAAUUGCGGAAAAUCUGUUUGUGUUUUCCACAUAUAGAUUGCUUCAUGUCCCUAAUUUUGUCCUGUCCCAUAAAAUCCUAUGCUGAAACCGAGAUAUCAUGCUUAUCACUUAUGACACAGAUUACAGCCCACAGCAUCUAUUUUAAGGAGGAGACAGUAAGAUUGACAUUUAAAUUCAGUCAUGUGACCUACAGAAUCAUCCAGCCAGUGAUUCUACUUAUGUUUUGAUUCAAAUAAAUUUUUUCAUGAAUAACUGAUAAAA